ACAGUUUUUGCUGAACGUUAUGUGGACAGCCUUGAAUACGUUCGCUGAGUAUAAACGAAGCUGAUCUACUCCANAUUUUCUUGUCCUGCUAGUUUUACCAACUGACACCCGAGGCUCCAAUCGUGAUUCAAGAAACAGAGUAAAACAGACAUGCUGUUCGGCCCUGGUCACUGCGCAGGGGUCUUGGCUCCAAAGGAGGUCUCCUAUACAAACAUGAGUUUAUCUUUAAUCUUCAUGAUCUUCACGGUGCCAGGCAACCUCUUAGUAAUUCUGGCCAUCCUUAAAGACCCACACAAAGAAGUGCGCUCACCCUUCACCCUUCUGAUCCUGAACCUCGCUGUCACAGACUUGAUUGUUGGCAGUGUAGUGGAGCCUCUAUCGAUCUAUAUCCACUACCGUGAAGGCAAAGGUCUCAGUAUCAAUAUGUCCUGGCUCUCGCAGACCGCCUACUUCCUUUGCUGUACUGCAUCGUUACUAAGCCUCGCUACUUUGACAGUCGAUAGAUACCUUGCUAUCGCACGGGCGGUCUGGUACAGGGCUAACGUCAAUAACAAAAGAGUAGUCUACGCGUCGAUUUUUGUGUGGACUCUGUCUUUUGGCUUCACCAUGAUAUUCUUCGAGGUAGGCUUCAUCUCGUACGCCUUUGUUUUUGCGAACAUCGCAAUUCUCAGCACGUUCAUCAUCUUUAUCUUCACCUAUGUACAAGUUUUCAGAGUUCUGAAAAGCCAACUGUCGAGCCUUGCGAGCUUCCAUGACGGAAGCGCAGGACAACUAGAGCGCGCUCAUCGACGCUCCAUGAUCUGGGAGAAACGAAUAACCAAGGCCUACCUGAUCGUACUAGCAGUAUUUCUAGCCUGUUAUGUGCCGUCAUGUAUCAUGAUAUACCUAAUGAACAUGUGCGAGUCCUGCAGCUGUGAUUUAAUUCACUGGUUCAGAGACGCGCAGUUCAUUCUGGUCACUAUCAAUUCGCUCAUCAAUCCCUUCGUCUACGCCUUCAGGUUAGAAAACNUACGAAGGGCUGUGUUCACCAUUUUGAAGUGCAUGCCACUUUGCAAAACUAACAAGGUGAGUGUUGAAAGUAACGUGCUUUCUGAUGUCACACCGGAAGAAAAUAAAAGGACAGCAAGCACUUCGAUCGAGAACAGACAAGGAGGACAAAACCCAGAGAUUAGUCGUCAUUCUCCUGAAUUUAGCGAGCCGGCUCCUGUUCAUUGAAAACACUGUUUCUGAUAGUAUGUGAAACUNUACUUUAUCAUGCUGCAAGAUCUACACUGGUUAUAUGAAAAGCACUGAAUUGAAUUCAAGAUCCUACUGAUGAAUAUCUAUACAGUCCAAACCAUACACAGAACCAAGAAUACUGAUGAGAGAUGACUGGAUGUACUUUACUUGAUGGG
rnacentral:misc_RNA from 1 species